CCCCGCCCUCCUAUGAGCGGCCACGGGGGCGACCGAGCGCGGUGGUGCGACCUCGGAGCUGUAGGGAGCGGCGGGGCACGGGCGUGCUCGUGGUGUCGAGGCCUUUCAUGUUCUUUUUAUUGUUAUUGUUAUUAUUAUUUUGGGCGUUCGCAGCCAUCUGCUCGCUAUGUGAAUGUGUUCUCCCAAGCUUCGUGCUCAGGUGGGAAGGCUGAAGCAGAAGGUUCCCAGAGGGCCCAAAAUACUCAUGCUGGCUGUGGAUGAUCUAUCUCUGCUUUUCCAAGAUUGAGGUCAGCAUGGGCAGAGCCAACCUGCUAUUGGUAAAACUGUGAUACAGAUAACACCUAAGUACAUUACAGCUGGUGAUAACAUUGGAACUUCCAGAAAGUGCUAUCAUUGCUGAGAAGGAACAAGUAAGUUUAUAGAGUGAAAGUAUGCUUUAUGAAAAGCAAUUACUUCUACAACUGAAGUCUCAGACACGGUCAAGCAUGGAAAGAAUAAGAACAAAAAGUGUAACGCCUUCUGAAACAUGCAAAAUAUGUACAAAGUUGCAGAUAACAGAAUUGAGCCAGGAGGCCAAAUGAAAAUCUGUCAGCUUUACCCAAGAAAUACAGAAAUCCUUAAAUAAACCAAGGAAAAAUAAUUCUGCUUACUGUUCUUUAUAAAUACGGCAGGUACAAUAGCACAUCACUAAACUCCAAUGACAAGGAAUGUACCAUCAUACAUGGGAAAAUAGUAUCUAAUAUUUUUACUGUAUUAAUUCCCCCAUUUUCUUGUGCUAUUCUCAGGGUGCAUUUAACAACAAGGACAAACCAGACAUUUUAAACUGCAGCAUCCCAUUAUUUCAAGAUUCCGGAAAGCCAGGUUUUUAAUAGUCUACCAGGAAUAAGCACAGCAGCACCUUGCUUCCAUCAAUAAAAUUAGCAUGUAAAAGUUUAAGAGGCAAAGACUGUAGGAAGUUUUUCAACGGGUCAAUCAAAUUACAAUUCAAGCGUAAUAGAAAAAAAGAGCAAAAUAGUUCAC